rnacentral:lncRNA from 1 species
GCCUAAUAGAUCAUGAUCUGAUCUAUCAGUCUAUGUAAUGGUCUACUACACCUUUAUAUAAAAAAGUAAUGAGGGGACCCUCGAGGUAUGCCAUAUUGAGUUCAUACUCUCCAUUCUACUAUGCUCAAGCUCUGGCUAAUUUAAGCAUCUGAGAAUCUUCCAUCGGAGAACCCUCGUAUAUACAAAUUCUACCAAUUGGGAUAUUAAGGCU